rnacentral:rRNA from 1 species
AUGGCGUUCUCCAAGCAUGCCAUCGUACUCGCCACUCUCCUCCUCACCGCCCUCCUCAUGGUUGCGGAUGCUCAGCCGACACCCAAGAUAGAUUGCCUGUUAUCGUGUAACGCUCGUUGCGCGAAGAACUGGAGGAACAAGAUAUGUAACAAGGACUGCAAUAUCUGUUGCGACAAGUGUAACUGCGUCCCUUCCGGCACAGGCCAGGAGACCCGUAACGAAUGCCCCUGCUACGCCAACUUGGUUGACUCAAAGACCGGCAAGCUCAAUGAUGGUAUGCAGAUAUUCAUCAAGUGUUACAUCAACAACCGCUUCAAGGAGCCCAGGCUCAUAGUUUCCAUCCAAGACACGAAAGGUGGAAAAAGGAAGACAGAACCAUCAAGCAACAAGCCCGGACGGCCAAGACCCGGGAACGACUACGCCCGGCAACAACUGACGCCAGCUGGCCCGCCCUCAGUAAGCGUCGACAACAAGCUAUCGUCCCCAUGCAUGGCGCGACUGUUCUGUGCACAUAGAGCCUUUACGCCACACAGUGGGAGGGCAGGCGCGCCGGUAGAGGGACAAGAUGUGAGGGAUGAAUCAAGCCCACGCUCCAUCGCAUGUUCUAAGUCCACCCUCGACUCACAACUGAGACCCAACUUUUUUAGUCCUAGUUGCAAGUUCACCCCUGACUCGCAAUUGGAGCCCCAUCUUUUUAGACCCAAUUGCAUGUCCAUCUUCUAUCUGCAACUGGGGCCGACUGUUUUUGUCUUGGUUGCAAGUCCACCAACGACUCACAACUGGGUUCCCGACCUUUUUUUCCUAGUUGAUAGUCCAACAUCGACUCACAACUGA